UACGAAGGGGGCUAGCGUUGUUCGGAUUUACUGGGCGUAAAGCGCGCGUAGGCGGAUCGUUAAGUCGGGGGUGAAAACUCGGGGCUCAACCCUGAGCCUGCUUCCGAUACGGGCUGACUAGAGGUAUGCAGGGGAGAACGGAAUUCCUGGUGUAGCGGUGAAAUGCGCAGAUAUCAGGAGGAACACCGGUGGCGAAGGCGCUCAUCUGGCCCAAUACUGACGCUGAUGCGCGAAAGCUAGGGGAGCAAACGGG
rnacentral:rRNA from 1 species